CAUCCAACACCUACGGGGAUAAGCGUUCAAGAUUUAGACAGAGGAUUUACACAGGAAAGGAAGGACAAAGACAGAAAUUCUCCCAAAACAGAAAACAAUACAAUGGAUUUUUCCAAAAAAAUGCGUUUUUGGAAGAAGCUUGCCGCCAACCAAACGGUUGCUCCAGGGCCAAGUAAUCUGCAGAACGCAGAUAAGACAGAUAUGACAGCGGCUCAACAAACCAUUACGAGUCAAGCGUCAGAGAUCUCAAGUCUGAAAGAGAGUCUUCAAGAUGUCAAAAAGAUGUUUGAAGAUCGUGAAGCAGAAGUGCAGCUUCUGGUAAGUAGGGCGAUCGAGUCAAACAACCUUGAACUUGCGGACCACUUCUCAGAGAAGGCGGCCAAACUCCAACAGAUCCAGACAAACUCUACACAAGAGUACGAGAUUCUCCUGGCAGAACACCAAAACGUGGUUUUUGCCCUCCAUGCUGAGCAGGCCAAGACAACGCAGCUGGAGGAACAUAAGAACGUUCUGGAACAGAAAAGAAUGUUCUUGGAACAGAAAAUUGAGGUUCUGGAGGAGGGAAAGAAGGUUCUAGAUGAGGAAGGGAUUGUCCUGGGGGAGAAAAAAAUGGCCCUGGAACAGGAAAAUAUGCUCUUGGGGCAGAAAAAUAUCACCCUGGGCCAGGAAAACAUGCUCUUGGGGCAGAAAAAUAUCGCUCUGGCCCAGGAAAAUAUGCUCUUGGGGCAGAAAAAUAUCGCCCUGGGCCAGGACAAUAUGCUCCUGGGGCAAGAAAAGUUGGCUCUCCAGGACGAAAAGAUGGUCCUUGGGCAGGAAAAGGAAGUCCUGGAGAAGGAAAAGAUGGUUCUUGGCCAGGAAAAUGUCAUCCUCGAGGAUAUUUGCCUCGAGCUGAGGAAAAGAAUUCUAGGAUUCUUUGGACGGAAGAUGGAGGACAGAGCCACAGAGAUGGCAAAGCUGAAGAGGAAGAUGGCAGAUCAGGAAAGGAGGAGAGGAUUUUUCCAUCGCCUCUUCAGGAGAAACUCCAACAACAGUUCUCAGCAAGUGACUCUGCUUCGGUUUGGAGAGGCCUCAAACACCUCACCAACUACAAGCCAAAAACCCCCCACUCCAUGAAUGACCUCCGCCUGGCAGACGAGCUCAAUGAGUUCUACUGCAGAUUUGAAAGACAAUGUCCUGAUCCCAUCCCCCACAGCUCCACCAACCUGCUGCAGUCCCCCUCCCCUCCCUCCCCCAGCCCAUCAGGUGCUCACGCCUCUUCAUCAUUAUCACCUUCCCCUCCCCCACCAGCAACGACCCUCUCUAUUCUGGAGAGAGACGUUAACCGGCUCUUUAGAAGACUAAAUCCCCGUAAGGCAGCCGGUCCGGACUCCGUUUCCCCUCACUCCCUGAAGCAUUGUGCUGACCAGCUGUCUCCGGUGUUCACGGACAUCUUCAACACCUCCCUGGAGACAUGCCACGUACCAGCCUGCUUCAAGGCCUCCACCAUCAUCCCUGUCCCCAAGAAGCCCAGGAUCAC
ensembl:lncRNA